rnacentral:rRNA from 1 species
GACGAACCGUCCAAACGUUAUUCGGAAUUACUGGGCUUAAAGGGUGCGUAGGCGGCGCGGAAAGUUGGGUGUGAAAUCCCUCGGCUCAACCGAGGAACUGCGCCCAAUACUACCGUGCUUGAGGGAGAUAGAGGUGAGCGGAACUUAGGGUGGAGCGGUGAAAUGCGUUGAUAUCCUGAGGAACACCGGUGGCGAAAGCGGCGCGCUGGAUCCCUUCUGACGCUGAGGCGCGAAAGCCAGGGGAGCAAACGGG